rfam:Gorilla gorilla gorilla genomic chromosome, chr4, whole genome shotgun sequence
GUGUUGCUUUGGCAGCUCAUAUACUGAAAUUAGAAUAACAUGGAGAUUAGCAUGGCCUCUGUUCAAGAACAACAUGUAAAUUCAUGAAGCAUUCCAUUUUUUU